UAGUCCUUGUGCCAUCACCGCAGACGCAUCCCAAAAGAGCCCCUCCUUCAACGGAUACUCCACUACAGAUGUAAACUUUCGCAUAUAUCAACAAAGAGUACCAUGGCAUCCAGCCAUGAAUGAUACAUAAACAUAAUUUAAGCAAGCAUACAUAUACAAGAAUGUAAAAUCAUGAAAAGGUGAGGUAUGGCUGUCCACGUGAAGUAUAGUACUUACCUGACCAUCAGACAUUGAAGAUUGAGUGAAAGAAUUCUCUGAUCUAAAUUUCAGAAUGAGUGUCGAAGAUUUACCCCAAAUUGUCCAUAACCUGGAUGAGAACCGUAUGUACAAAAUUGGGAUUGAGAAGAUAAUAACACAAUGUAAUGGUUGGGUGAAAGAGGGAUCAUAACUGGGAAGGAGAAAAUGCAUUUACCAAGCGUAGGGGAGAGCUACAGGAGACGAAGUGGCGCAUAUACUACAGCAGAUACGGACAGAAAAAAGCAAUGCACAACUCCAUUUAAUUGUCAC
rnacentral:lncRNA from 1 species